UACGUAGGGUGCAAGCGUUGUCCGGAAUCAUUGGGCGUAAAGCGCGCGUAGGUGGCUUCGUAAGUCCGUUGUGAAAGUCAAAGGCUCAACCUUUGAAAGCCGAUGGAUACUGCGGAGCUAGAGUACGGAAGAGGCGAGUGGAAUUCCUGGUGUAGCGGUGGAAUGCGCAGAUAUCAGGAGGAACACCAAUAGCGAAGGCAGCUCGCUGGGACGUUACUGACACUAAGGCGCGAAAGCGUGGGGGGCGAACAGG
rnacentral:rRNA from 1 species